CUUACAAUUGCGAUGGGGGGACGGAGAAGGCUAGGUGGGCCUGGCGACGGUUGUCCAGGUUCAAGUGCGUAGGCUUAAGAGUUAGGUAAAUCCGGCUCUUUCUAAGGCUGAGACACGACGUCGAGCACCUACGGGUGUGAAGUCAUUGAUGCCAUGCUUCCAGGAAAAGCCUCUAAGCUUCAGAUUGUAAGGAAUCGUACCCCAAACCGACACAGGUGGUCGGGUAGAGAAUACCAAGGCGCUUGAGAGAACUCGGGUGAAG
rnacentral:rRNA from 1 species